rnacentral:lncRNA from 1 species
GUUAGAAACAGCAGAGAGGCAGUCAGAGACACUAGUCAAGAGGGACGGGAAGAGAUCAGGAGAGGACAGGUAGAUUUGCGUGUCAUCUGCAUAGAAAUGAUAUUGGAAGCCAAAGAAGCUAAUGAGUUUACCAAGGGAAGCAGUAUAGAUGGAGAACAGUAGGGGACCAAGGACUGAACCCUGGGGGACACCAACAGAGAGGAGUUGGGGAGAAGAAGCAGAGCCAGAGAAAGAAACACUAAAAGAGCGCUGGGAGAGGAAGGAGCAGCACCAGGAGAGAGCAAUAUCUUGUAGACCGAUAUUGCGGAGGAUGAG